UGGUCGCAGGUUCGAAUCCUGCACGACCCACCAAUUUCAGUAUUUAACUCAGAUGCUGAACGUGAAGGAUAACGUUGCGACAGCAACGGCCCGAAGGGCGAGGCGAAGUCGAGUCAUCCUGCACGACCCACCA
rnacentral:sRNA from 1 species